UACGGAGGAUGCGAGCGUUAUCCGGAUUUAUUGGGUUUAAAGGGUGCGUAGGCGGGAUGCCAAGUCAGCGGUAAAAAUGCGGUGCUCAACGCCGUCGAGCCGUUGAAACUGGCGUUCUUGAGUGGGCGAGAAGUAUGCCGAAUGCGUGGUGUAGCGGUGAAAUGCAUAGAUAUCACGCAGAACUCCGAUUGCGAAGGCAGCAUACCGGCGCCCUACUGACGCUGAGGCACGAAAGCGUGGGUAUCGAACAGG
rnacentral:rRNA from 1 species